rnacentral:rRNA from 1 species
GAUGAACGCUGGCGGCGUGCCUAAUACAUGCAAGUCGAGCGGACAGACGCGGAGCUUGCUCCUCUGACGCUAGCGGCGGACGGGUGAGUCACACGUGGAUAACCUACCUGUCAGACUGGUAUAACUUCGGGAAACCGGAGCUAAUACCGGAGAAUCUAUUGAACCACGGGGGUCAAUGGUAAGAGACGGUUUUGCUGUAUCUUAUAGCUGGAUCCCCGCCGCAUUGGGUAGUUGGUAAGGUAACGGCUUACGAAGGCAACGAGGCGUAGCCGACCGGAGAGGGUGAUCGGCCACACUGGAACUGAGACACGGUCCAGACUCCUACGGGAGGCAGCAGUAGGGAAUCGGCCGCAAUGGGCGAAAGCCUGACGGAGCAACGCCGCGUGAGUGAGGAAGGUCUUCGGAUCGUAAACCUCUGUUAUUAGGGAAGAACACAUUUGUAAGUAACUCUGCACGUCUUGACGGUACCUAAUCAGAAAGGCACGGCUAACUACCUG